rnacentral:rRNA from 1 species
GUGUACGCUGGCGGCGUGCCUACAUACAUGCAGUCGAAGCGAAUGGAUUAAGAGCUUGCUCUUAUGAAGUUAGCGGCGGACGGGUGAGUAACACGUGGGUAACCUGCCCAUAAGACUGGGAUAACUCCGGGAAACCGGGGCUAAUACCGGAUAACAUUUUGAACCGCAUGGUUCGAAAUUGAAAGGCGGCUUCGGCUGUCACUUAUGGAUGGACCCGCGUCGCAUUAGCUAGUUGGUGAGGUAACGGCUCACCAAGGCAACGAUGCGUAGCCGACCUGAGAGGGUGAUCGGCCACACUGGGACUGA